AUGGAGAGAAUGGAGGUGGACCAGUGCGCAGGCGCGGCGGGCGCUGGGGGCGGGGCUCUGCGGAGGUCCAACAGCGCCCCCAUGAUCACCUGCGCCAGUGACAGCAGCAGCGCCACCGCGCGGUACCGCCGCAGCAGCGUCUCCGUCAACCCGAGCUGCCCCUCUACGCUCCCGCACUUUCCCUUCACCCUGACCAGCGAAAGAGUUGAUCCUAAAAGGCUGGUGGAGAACAUGGAGACGAGUCUCAGAGGGAGUCUGCACAAACUUUGCGCCUCACCUCUGACCUCCCUGCCUCCCACUGGCCAUGGGCCGGACCAGAUUUUGCCGGACAUCGGUGUUACACCCAAUUCUUCACCUAGCCCAACUCGAAGAUUCAGGGGCGCUACUCUGAAUCCUGCUGUGCGGUGGUCUGCUUUGACUCCGCUCAAAAGAAAAGGAGGAGUGGAAUCCGACGGUCCACCCAAAAAACUUUUUGUAGCUGGAGUAACCGAUCCCACCCACUUGUCUAGUUAUAUGGUCAGCGUUUCCCCGGCUGCCAACUCAACGGAAGACCUGCCUGUGUGUGCAAGUCCCCUGAACUGCCCCGUAUCCCUCUCCCCCCCACCUCCAUUCACCCACCACCACCAAAGCUUCUAGACCAUUCUUCAGCAAAUCAUCGCUCCUCUUACCAAAGCCAAGUUCAGUUCGCUCAUUCAGGGGCUGGUUUCAGACUAGAGCUUCGAGCUGAGGACUGGCAGAAUGAAAGACUUGCCUGGAUUUGAAGGUGAAGUGCAACUGAAAUCAUUUCUUCCCCUUUUGGUGCAAUUAAAGGAAAGAUGUUUUUGCCCUAAAAAAAAAAACACUGGGGACAGCGUUGUGCACACUGGUUACACAAUUCAGUAUUUUCUUUACAAUCUUGGUGACAUUUGUGCUCAUGUCACCGUCUCCCAAACAACCAACUUUAAAGGAAUGGCAGUGACACUCGCGUCUUCCACAUGAUGAGGAGGGACAGAAAGUGAGCAAGAGGACCUGCUGGUUUGAACAAAUGAGCAGGGGCCUUCUGGUGUGUAUUAGAUGACAACGUGAUGUUGCAGAACAUGCAUCAUUGGUGAGCAUGGUCCAAAUCUUAUCUGCACUUUUUAAAAAAAAGCUGCCAUUCCUAAUCAGCUGCAGAAGGAAGUCGGUACCAAAAGAAGUGAAGAUGUGGCAAUAAACUAUGGAUUUUGGUUAAUGUAUUCUGAUAA
rnacentral:lncRNA from 1 species